UACGUAGGGUGCAGGCGUUAAUCGGAAUUACUGGGCGUAAAGCGUGCGCAGGCGGUUAUGCAAGACAGAUGUGAGAUCCCCGGGCUCAACCUGGGAACUGCAUUUGUGACUGCAUGGCUAGAGUACGGUAGAGGGGGGUGAAAUUCCCGGUGUAGCGGUGAAAUGCGUAGAUAUCGGAAGGAACAUCAGUGGCGAAAGCGACUUCCUGGACCAGUACCGACGUUCAGGCACGAAAGCGUGGGGAGCAAACAGG
rnacentral:rRNA from 1 species